rnacentral:tRNA from 1 species
GGGGCUGUGGCUCAGCGGUAGAGCAUUUGCCUAGUGUGUGCAAGGCGCUGGGUUCGAUCCUCAGCACCA